UUUUUAAAAGACCUUUUUCGGAAGGUAUGCUUAAAGAGGGGCUUGCGUCACAUUAGUUAGUUGGCAGGGUAAAGGCCUACCAAGACUAUGAUGUGUAGCUGGACUGAGAGGUUGAACAGCCACAUUGGGACUGAGACACGGCCCAAACUCCUACGGGAGGCAGCAGUAGGGAAUUUUCGGCAAUGGAGGAAACUCUGACCGAGCAACGCCGCGUGAACGAUGAAGUAUUUCGGUAUGUAAAGUUCUUUUAUUGAAGAAGAAAAAAUAGUGGAAAAACUAUCUUGACGAUAUUCAAUGAAUAAGCCCCGGCAAACUAUGUGCCAGCAGCCGCGGUAAUACAUAGGGGGCGAGCGUUAUCCGGAAUUAUUGGGCGUAAAGGGUGCGUAGGCGGUUUAAUAAGUCUAUAGUUUAAUUUCAGUGCUUAACACUGUCCUGCUAUAGAAACUAUUAGACUAGAGUGAGAUAGAGGCAAGUGGAAUUCCAUGUGUAGCGGUAAAAUGCGUAAAUAUAUGGAGGAACACCAGAGGCGUAGGCGGCUUGCUGGGUCUUUACUGACGCUGAGGCACGAAAGCGUGGGGAGCAAACAGGAUUAGAUACCCUGGUAGUCCACGCCGUAAACGAUGAGUACUAAGUGUCGGGAUUACUCGGUACUGAAGUUAACACAUUAAGUACUCCGCCUGAGUAGUACGUACGCAAGUAUGAAACUUAAAGGAAUUGACGGGACUCCGCACAAGCGGUGGAUCAUGUUGUUUAAUUCGAAGAUACACGAAAAACCUUACCAGGUCUUGACAUACUCUGCAAAGCUAUAGCAAUAUAGUGGAGGUUAUCAGAGAUACAGGUGGUGCAUGGUUGUCGUCAGCUCGUGUCGUGAGAUGUUAGGUUAAGUCCUAAAACGAGCGCAACCCUUGUCAUUAGUUGCCAGCAUGUCAUGAUGGGCACUUUAAUGAGACUGCCAAUGAAAAAUUGGAGGAAGGUGAGGAUCACGUCAAAUCAUCAUGCCCCUUAUGAUCUGGGCUACAAACGUGAUACAAUGGCUGUUACAAAGAGUAGCUGAAACGCAAGUUUAUAGCCAAUCUCAUAAAAGCAGUCUCAGUUCGGAUUGAAGUCUGCAACUCGACUUCAUGAAGUUGGAAUCGCUAGUAAUCGCGAAUCAGCAUGUCGCGGUGAAUACGUUCUCGGGGUUUGUACACACCGCCCGUCAAACCACGAAAGUUGGUAAUACUCAAAAACGGUAGCCUAACUUCUUCGGAAGAGGGAACCGUCUA
rnacentral:rRNA from 1 species